CGUAGGGUGCGAGCGUUAAUCGGAAUUACUGGGCGUAAAGCGUGCGCAGGCGGUUUGUUAAGACAGAUGUGAAAUCCCCGGGCUCAACCUGGGAACUGCAUUUGUGACUGGCAGGCUAGAGUAUGGCAGAGGGGGGUAGAAUUCCACGUGUAGCAGUGAAAUGCGUAGAGAUGUGGAGGAAUACCGAUGGCGAAGGCAGCCCCCUGGGCCAAUACUGACGCUCAUGCACGAAAGCGUGGGGAGCAAACAGGGAUU
rnacentral:rRNA from 1 species